AUUGAACGCUGGCGGCAGGCCUAACACAUGCAAGUCGAACGGUAACAGGAAGCAGCUUGCUGCUUUGCUGACGAGUGGCGGACGGGUGAGUAAUGUCUGGGAAACUGCCUGAUGGAGGGGGAUAACUACUGGAAACGGUAGCUAAUACCGCAUAACGUCGCAAGACCAAAGAGGGGGACCUUCGGGCCUCUUGCCAUCGGAUGUGCCCAGAUGGGAUUAGCUAGUAGGUGGGGUAACGGCUCACCUAGGCGACGAUCCCUAGCUGGUCUGAGAGGAUGACCAGCCACACUGGAACUGAGACACGGUCCAGACUCCUACGGGAGGCAGCAGUGGGGAAUAUUGCACAAUGGGCGCAAGCCUGAUGCAGCCAUGCCGCGUGUAUGAAGAAGGCCUUCGGGUUGUAAAGUACUUUCAGCGGGGAUGAAGGGAGUAAAGUUAAUACCUUUGCUCAUUGACGUUACCCGCAGAAGAAGCACCGGCUAACUCCGUG
rnacentral:rRNA from 1 species